AUGUGGAGUGAUUAUCUACAAGUGAAUGUACAUACUUCUAAUUUCCAUGUUAUCUUAGCUAUUGUUCUUAGUAUAGCCAGUAAGGAGGAGUUUGUUCUGGUUUGCAUAUAUGGAGAUCCAUACCAUCACGAAACAAACCAGAUUUGGGAGAUAGUGGCAUCUUUUGUGUAUGAUAAUGUCAGCAAGCCUGUAGUUUGUAUAGGAGACAUGAAUGACAUUCUCUAUGAUAUGGACAAAAGUACUCCCUAUGUUAAUACUAAUCGUAUGAAUGCUUUCCGCAAUCUUGUGAAGUCUUGUGGUUUGAUUGAUCUUGGUUAUAGUUGGUCUGCUUAUACCUGGACUAACAAACGUUUUACUAAUCCAACUUAUGAAAGACUUGAUAGAUGUUUGGUGAAUGCUGAGUGGUGUGCUCUUUAUCCGAAUACAAAUGUCUAUAAUCUUCCUAUUACUCUGAGUGAUCAUGCUCCCAUACUUAUUUCUACUGAUGGUAAAUUUCGAAAACCUAUGCAAACAUUC
rnacentral:rRNA from 1 species